CCAUCAUUUAGUUGGGCACUCUAAGGUGACUGCCGGUGACAAACCGGAGGAAGGUGGGGAUGACGUCAAAUCAUCAUGCCCCUUAUGACCUGGGCUACACACGUGCUACAAUGGACGGUACAAAGAGCUGCAAGACCGCGAGGUGGAGCUAAUCUCAUAAAACCGUUCUCAGUUCGGAUUGUAGGCUGAGUUGCGCCUACAUGAAGCUGGAAUCGCUAGUAAUCGCGGAUCAGCAUGCCGCGGUGAAUACGUUCCCGGGCCUUGUACACACCGCCCGUCACACCACGAGAGUUUGUAACACCCGAAGUCGGUGGGGUAACCUUUUUGGAGCCAGCCGCCUAAGGUGGGACAGAUGAUUGGGG
rnacentral:rRNA from 1 species